GGCACCAUUAAAAGCAUAUAAGGAACUAUUAAUUAAUUUACCUAUAUUUUACCAGCUUGUUAAAGCACAGUCUAUCCCAGCAAAUAACUGACCCCUCAGUAAUUACAUAUAAGCCCUGAAAUUUUCCUCCUUAGGAAAACUAAUACCUGGGACUCCAUUUGCAUUGAGUUUGUAGUAACUGUAAGGCAGUUUUUUUAGGGGGGUGGUUGGAGGAGGAGGGACACUUAAGAGUUUAAUACUUUAACUACUAAGUGGAUGUUUUAUUAAUUUAGUGACUUUCUAAGAGAUGUGGUUUAUCGGUGUUAGCUGAGUGAGCAUCCUGCCUCCAGAACAGGCAUUCCUCUUUGACUCAGCUCUCUUCCCCUAAAAAGCAGUGUUAAAACUUGUGUGCAUUUGAUUUUCCCAGAAAGCAUUGCUGCCCUGGAAACAGGCUGGAGGAACUUUGGAAAAGG
rnacentral:lncRNA from 1 species